rnacentral:rRNA from 1 species
GGGAGUGAAAUAGAACCUGAAACCCAGCACUUACAAGAUGUGGAAGCACAUUUCUAAUGUGACCGCGUACUUUUUGUAGAACGGGCCAACGAGUUACGUUAAGUAGCAAGGUUAAGCACUUAAGGUGUGGAGCCGUAGCGAAAGCGAGUUUUAACUGAGCGUUCAGUUACUUGACGUAGACCCGAAACCGGGCGACCUACCCAGGAGCAGGAUGAAGCGAAAGUAAAAUUUCGUGGAGGUCCGAACCCACGAGCGUUGAAAAGCUCGGGGAUGACUUGUGGGUAGCGGUGAAAUUCCAAUCGAGCCCGGAGAUAGCUGGUUCUCCCCGAAAUAGCUUUAGGGCUAGCCUCAAGGUGAGAGAUACGGAGGUAGAGCACUGAAUGUCCUAGGGGGUAUUGCACCUACCGAAGACUAUCAAACUCCGAAUGCCGUCAUCUUAUACUUGGGAGUCAGACUGUGGGUGAUAAGAUUCAUAGUCGAAAGGGCAACAGCCCAGAUCGUCAGCUAAGGUCCCUAAAUGUAAGUUAAGUGGUAAAGGAUGUGGGAUUGCACAGACAACCAGGAUGUUGGCUUAGAAGCAGCCACUCAUUCAAAGAGUGCGUAAUAGCUCACUGGUCGAGUGAUCCUGCGCCGAAGAUUUCCGGGGCUAAA